GGGAAUAAAACUUCACGGAAAGGCAAAACCAUUCUAAUGAAUAUCCAACGCUCAUGACUUCAAAUUGUUGGACAUGACUAAAAUAUCCAAAUCAGCGGUCAGCAUGAUAGACUCUUGGCACGUGGGUUGGAUUUGGCGAUCACCUCAGCUCUUUUUUCCAAAGUUCCCUCCAACAACAUAUAUAUAGAAUGACCAACAGCCAGCAGACAUCAGCGCAUCAGAUGCCAUCUUAAAGAUGGUACUAAACUGUUAAACCAAGGAGCUGCUUCGCCGCUAACACAACUUGAAUCUGCAGGAUAGAGACACUAUCAAAAAAUACAUUUUUAGAGCAGAAGACAAGGUAUUAAGCACACUUUCUUGUUAAUUCUAACACCCAUAGCAAAACUGAGACUUUCUACAGAAGCGACUUUACAUCUUGUUUCCAUUUUAAUAAACUAUGUCUACUUUUUUCUAUUUUCUUAGGUAAGGAAAAUAGCAAUGUAUUGACCCUCGGUGAAUUUGGUUUAUUUAAAGAAAACAAGGCAUUUGGAGUGCCCUGGCAAAUUAAAACUUCAAGCAUCAAUACUGCUUUGGAAAACGAAUGAGAUGUUCAUAAAUUAUGGUUUGUUAAAACAUAAAUGUAAUAUUUUCUUUCUGAGGCGUUG